rnacentral:rRNA from 1 species
AUGAACGCUGGCGGCGUGCCUAAUACAUGCAAGUCGAGCGAACGGACGAGAAGCUUGCUUCUCUGAUGUUAGCGGCGGACGGGUGAGCAACACGUGGAUAACCUACCUAUAAGACUGGGAUAACUUCGGGAAACCGGAGCUAAUACCGGAUAAUAUUUUGAACCGCAUGGUUCAAAAGUGAAAGACGGUCUUGCUGUCACUUAUAGAUGGAUCCGCGCUGCAUUAGCUAGUUGGUAAGGUAACGGCUUACCAAGGCAACGAUGCAUAGCCGACCUGAGGGGGUGAUCGGCCACACUGGAACUGAGCCACGGUCCAGACUCCUACGGGAGGCAGCAGUAGGGAAUCUUCCGCAAUGGGCGAAAGCCUGACGGAGCAACGCCGCGUGAGUGAUGAAGGUCUUCGGAUCGUAAAACUCUGUUAUUAGGGAAGAACAUAUGUGUAAGUAACUGUGCACAUCUUGACGGUACCUAAUCAGAAAGCCACGGCUAACUACGUG